CAUAUCACCAGAUCCGGUUUCAGUGACACUCUUUUCAUUUUUGGGAGUAAAGAACAAGCAGAUCCAGUAUCCUAUAUGUUUGUAGAACUCAUAUCACCCCUGAUGAAGAUCUAGGAACUACAAAUCACUGCAGAACUUGAUUUCGUUUUCCUGUUGGAGCACCAUUACGUGGGAUUAACUACAAAUCAGCUUAAGACAUAUGAUAAGUCCAGUGGUGAGGGCCCAGAUGGAGCAACGAAAAAAUACAGA